rnacentral:rRNA from 1 species
ACGAACGCUGGCGGCGCGCCUAACACAUGCAAGUCGAACGGGGUUAUGCUACGACAGAGGCUUCGGCCGAAGUCAUGUAUAACCUAGUGGCGGACGGGUGAGUAACACGUGAGCAACCUGCCUUGAAGAGGGGGAUAACGGUCGGAAACGACCGCUAAUACCGCAUGAUAUAGCGGGGUGGCAUCACUCUGCUAUCAAAGAUUUUAUCGCUUUAAGAUGGGCUCGCGUCCGAUUAGAUAGUUGGCGGGGUAACGGCCCACCAAGUCGACGAUCGGUAGCCGGACUGAGAGGUUGAUCGGCCACAUUGGGACUGAGACACGGCCCAGACUCCUACGGGAGGCAGCAGUGGGGGAUAUUGCACAAUGGGGGAAACCCUGAUGCAGCGACGUCGCGUGAGGGAAGACGGUUUUCGGAUUGUAAACCUCUGUCUUCGGGGACGAACAAAUGACGGUACCCGAGGAGGAAGCCACGGCUAACUACGUGCCAGCAGCCGCGGUAAUACGUAGGUGGCAAGCGUUGUCCGGAAUUACUGGGUGUAAAGGGAGCGUAGGCGGGAAGGCAAGUCAAGUGUCAAAUCUAUCGGCUCAACUGAUAGUCGCGCUUGAAACUGUUUUUCUUGAGUGGAGUAGAGGCAGGCGGAAUUCCUAGUGUAGCGGUGAAAUGCGUAGAUAUUAGGAGGAACACCAGUGGCGAAGGCGACUUUCUGGUCUGUAACUGACGCUGAUGUGCGAAAGCGUGGGGAUCAAACAGGAUUAGAUACCCUGGUAGUCCACGCCGUAAACGAUGAGUGCUAAGUGUUAGGGGGUUUCCGCCCCUUAGUGCUGCAGCUAACGCAUUAAGCACUCCGCCUGGGGAGUACGACCGCAAGGUUGAAACUCAAAGGAAUUGACGGGGGCCCGCACAAGCAGUGGAGUAUGUGGUUUAAUUCGAAGCAACGCGAAGAACCUUACCAGGUCUUGACAUCCUAAGAAUCCUUCAGAGAUGAGGGAGUGCCUUCGGGAACUUAGAGACAGGUGGUGCAUGGUUGUCGUCAGCUCGUGUCGUGAGAUGUUGGGUUAAGUCCCGCAACGAGCGCAACCCUUAUUGCUAGUUGCUACAUUCAGUUGAGCACUCUAGCGAGACUGCCGUUGACAAAACGGAGGAAGGUGGGGAUGACGUCAAAUCAUCAUGCCCCUUAUGACCUGGGCUACACACGUACUACAAUGGCCAUUAACAAAGGGAAGCAAGACCGCGAGGUGGAGCAAAUCCCAAAAAAUGGUCUCAGUUCAGAUUGCAGGCUGCAACCCGCCUGCAUGAAGUCGGAAUUGCUAGUAAUCGCGGAUCAGCAUGCCGCGGUGAAUACGUUCCCGGGCCUUGUACACACCGCCCGUCACACCAUGAGAGUCGGUAACACCCGAAGUCGGUAGUCUAACCGCAAGGAGGACGCCGCCGAAGGUGGGAUUGAUAAUUGGGGUG